rnacentral:rRNA from 1 species
GACGAACGCUGGCGGCGUGCCUAAUACAUGCAAGUCGAACGCAGUGGGGACGGGUGAGUAACACGUGGGUAACCUCCCAUCAGAGGGGAUAACACUUGGAAACAGGUGCUAAACCGAUACUGAUGGAUGGACCCGCGGUGCAUUAGCUAGUUGGGGAGGUAACGGCUCACCAAGGCCGCGAUGCAUAGCUGGCCUGAAAGGAUGAUCGGCCAAACUUGAACUGAAACACGGCCCAGACUCCUACGGUAGGCAGCAGUAGGGAAUAUUCGGCAAUGGGCGAAAGUCUGACCGAGCAACACCGCGUGAGUGAAGAAGGUUUUCGGAUCGUAAAACGCUGUUGUUAGAGAAGCGGUAUCUAACCAGAAAGCAACGGCUAACUACGUGCCAGCAGCCGCGGUAAUAC